GAUGAACGCUGGCGGCGUGCCUAAUACAUGCAAGUCGAGCGAACAGACGAGGAGCUUGCUCCUCUGACGUUAGCGGCGGACGGGUGAGUAACACGUGGAUAACCUACCUAUAAGACUGGGAUAACUUCGGGAAACCGGAGCUAAUACCGGAUAAUAUAUUGAACCGCAUGGUUCAAUAGUGAAAGACGGUUUUGCUGUCACUUAUAGAUGGAUCCGCGCCGCAUUAGCUAGUCGGUAAGGUAACGGCUUACCAAGGCGACGAUGCGUAGCCGACCUGAGAGGGUGAUCGGCCACACUGGAACUGAGACACGGUCCAGACUCCUAAGGGAGGCAGCAGUAGGGAAUCUUCCGCAAUGGGCGAAAGCCUGACGGAGCAACGCCGCGUGAGUGAUGAAGGUCUUCGGAUCGUAAAACUCUGUUAUUAGGGAAGAACAAAUGUGUAAGUAACUAUGCACGUCUUGACGGUACCUAAUCAGAAAGCCACGGCUAACUACGUG
rnacentral:rRNA from 1 species